rnacentral:rRNA from 1 species
CCUACGGGAGGCAGCAGUGAGGAAUAUUGGUCAAUGGACGAGAGUCUGAACCAGCCAAGUCGCGUGAGGGAUGACGGCCCUACGGGUUGUAAACCUCUUUUAUAUGGGAACAAAGCGUACCACGUGUGGUAUUUUGUAUGUACCCUAUGAAUAAGGAUCGGCUAACUCCGUGCCAGCAGCCGCGGUAAUACGGAGGAUCCGAGCGUUAUCCGGAUUUAUUGGGUUUAAAGGGUGGGUAGGCGGAAUGUUAAGUCAGCGGUGAAAGUUCGCGGCUCAACCGUAGAAUUGCCGUUGAAACUGGAUGGCUUGAGUACGUUAGAGGUGGGCGGAAUGCGUGGUGUAGCGGUGAAAUGCUUAGAUAUCACGCAGAACUCCGAUUGCGAAGGCAGCACACUGGACCGCAACUGACGCUGAUGCACGAAAGCGUGGGUAUCGAACAGGAUUAGAUACCCUAGUAGUC